ensembl:snRNA U6 U6 spliceosomal RNA
GCACUCUCUGGCAGUACAUAUGCUAAAACUGGAAUGACAUAGAGAAAAUUAGCACGACUCCUACCCAAGGAUGACACACAAAGCAAAAUUCAUGAAGGGUUCCCGAGUUUU